CACAAACAAUAAAAACAUACUUAGAGAUGCGAAAAUCAUAAGAGGUGCGAUUUAAUGCAUAUAUUAAGAAAUCAUUAAAGGUAAAUUUGCCUCUGGUGUUUGUUCGUUUGUGGAGGAUAAACAUACAUCAAUGAAUCUACACAAUCCAAUGCAAGAACGCAGUUCAGUGCUAUCACGAUAUGAGCAAUGGCAUGCUAGACCUAGUUUAUUGACGCUGCUCCCACCCAGAUUCAGUUUGGCGAGCAAUUACAUGCCAGACGAGCCUAAACACAACACUCGGAUGUUAUAUACCGAUGACAAAGGGCAAAGGACAGAUGGUCAACCAGGUCAAGAAGGCGCUGAAUAGUUCCAUUAAGAUGAUAUACUGUGUGCAUUUUCAUUCGGCAAACAACAAACAGAGGAAUUAUGGUUUCUGAAUUAUGAACUGAAGGAGGAGGUGAGAAUCUGAGGUGGCCUAGAACUAGAAAGAUUCUGAGAUUUUGGCUGGUGCUAAGUCUGCGUAGGGACUGUCUAGUUCCCUGCUUUGAUUUGUUCCUCCUUUUAUUUUUCUUGGGUUUUCUCCUAGCCACAUGUGUAGAUCUGAACAGUUUCCUGCUUAGUACUCCACAGCAGCAACUCUUUUGCUGCGUUAUUUAUACAAAAAAACAUGGUUUCCUUGAAUGAUACUGUAGUGUGUAAACAAAAAGAAGAUAGUAAGAAACUGAAGGAAAUGGUAGGGUGGAUAUUCCUCUAGGAUUAAAGCCUUCACCGAAUUCUCUAUCGAAAAACUCAGCCAUCUGAAAACUAAUCCGACAGAAGCUUUCUCCUGGAUCUGUUGCUCCAUACAGACACACGUCUCACUCUGAAAACUAAUCCCACAGAAAGUUUCUCCUGGAUCUGUUGCUCCAUACAGACACACGUCUCACUCUGAAAACUAAUCCCACAGAAAGUUUCUCCUGGAUCUGUUGCUCCAUACAGACACACGUCUCACUCUGAAAACUAAUCCGACAGAAGCUUUCUCCUGGAUCUUUGGCUCCAUACAGACACAGGUCAUUACCCAGCCCAACCACCAUCCAGGACCCCUAAUCAACGCAGCACCUGUUACGAAUCCAACUAGGCUCAGGGGGAGGCUGUUAAGCCGCAAGACCUGAACCCCAAGAACUUGAUAUCUACAAGGCCAUAUCAAAGAACAGGGAAUCCUGCGUCCCAUUGACCCCAAGCACCUACCACCCGAAACCAAGAAAAGAAGGCGGAAACAGCACGCAAAGCGCCCCCCAAGCGCCCGACGGAAAGCUGGAGCAGCAAGCAAUCGACGAUUGAGGUGGGGUGAGGGGGGCGAGCACGUACG
rnacentral:lncRNA from 1 species